rnacentral:rRNA from 1 species
UGUGACAUACCAAUCGUUGCUUCGGCGGACUCGUCCCAGCGUCCGGGUGGCCUUGCGCCGCCCGCGGCCUGGAACCAGGCGACCGCCGGAGGCCAUUCAAACUCUUUGUAUUACCAGUAUCUUCUGAAUCCGCCGCAAGGCAAAACAAAUGAAUCAAAACUUUCAACAACGGAUCUCUUGGUUCUGGCAUCGAUGAAGAACGCAGCGAAAUGCGAUAAGUAAUGUGAAUUGCAGAAUUCAGUGAAUCAUCGAAUCUUUGAACGCACAUUGCGCCCGCCAGCAUUCUGGCGGGCAUGCCUGUUCGAGCGUCAUUUCAACCCUCGAGCUCCCCUUGGGGAGCCCGGCGUUGGGGACCGGCCUCUACCGCCGACCCCGAAAUACAGUGGCGGCCCCGUCACGGCGACCUCUGCGUAGUAACUCAACCUCGCACCGGAAACCCGACGUGGCCACGCCGUAAAACACCCCACUUCUGAACGUUGACCUCGGAUCAGGUAGGAAUACCCGCUGAACUUAAGCAUAUCAAUAAGCGGAGGAAAAGAAACCAACAAGGAUUCCCCUAGUAACA